GACCAAGAUAGGGUUUUGCCUCUUUCCUGUGUCUUCUGCCUCUUUGCUGAUUGAGAUUGAGAUGGUGGGGAACUACCGAGUUUCAGGAGGCCAAAGAAGGCUAAAGCUGGAGCGGAGAAAUAAUACAUUGAUAUGGGAAAGCUUCUGAAAAUGAAGCUAGAAGAAGUUUCAUCAGGUAGGACUAUGGAGGUAUUGGUGGAUUCAGUUUCUUAGUUUAGCAGGGUUGUCCACCUUUUCCUAUACUGAGUUGUACGAUGAAGGGGUGAACAAAAUAGCCAGGAGAUUGCCUGUGAGGUGGAAGCAACUGUUGCUGCCUACCACAUUUUCCUUAAUGUUUAUCUGCAUGGUUCCAAGUGCAUUGAGGAGGAGGACCUCAUGAGGUUCAUGGUUGAGGAAGAGGUGGAAGUUGCAUUUUUGCUGAAGAGCUCUAAAAGAUUAGCUGGUGAAGGUCUACAACGCUCGCAGAAGGAUUAAUUCAUACUUUAAAUGACACCAAAAAAAGUUGUAAAGCAAUUGGAUAAAUUGUGAUUAGCAUCCUGAUUGUUAUUCGCAUUGUAUUGUGGCUUCUUUUGGUGGAAAUCGCAACCACAAAAGUACAAGUCUUCCUCUCUUAGGAGCUCAUAUUGGAAAUCACAACCAACUGAUGAGAAUUUUGGAAAAGCUAAACAUUACAUGCUCUGUGCAGCCCCCACAGAGUUAAUCUCAAUUGAACUAAAUCCGAUGCUGGAUGAUCAGUUCAAUCAUAGGUAUGCAUUGCAAGCUAGCCUAGGAUUUAUGAGGUGUUACUGUGUUGUACUCCAAUCAUUGUACCAUUAUAUGUCGUUGUUGUGUUACCUCAGCAAUCUAAUCAUGUAAUGCAGCUAGCAUAUUCUUUA